AGUGAUCAGCACAAUACCAUUUUAAUUUCCAACAGAAAUUAUAAAAACAAAUGUGUUCUGAUAAUUAAUACAACUGAGAUAGAGCCUGUACAACAGAAUGUUCUUAAAUAUUAAGUUAAUCUUACUUUAGUAGGCCUUAUCUUAAAAUCUCCUCCCUAACACAGUGAUAAUGAAGAAAAAUAUCCGUAGCAAUUUAUGGUUCAUAGACACAUUAUAUUAGGCUGAGAUUAUAAUGUAAAACAGUGCUGAUAAUGCUCCACACUUCACCUCCCCUCCCUUUUCACUGCCUGCUAUUAGGAGUGUUGCUGGCAGUGCUGGCAUUGAGAGUUUUGGAGAAUCUUUAAGGAAGGAUGGAAGCCUUGAAAAGCUGAUUUAAGAGCUUAGAGAGGUGACUGUACAGAAAAGAAGGAACAGAGAAGACCUGAUCCUGCCAUUCCUGGAGAGGUCUGCCUGCAGGUUGAGCCUUGACUGUUGUUUGAUAACUUGACUGGUAAACAGUUCUCAAUGCUGAUACAAAACUUUCCCUAAAUAAAAGAAUGAUUCACUGUGCUUAACCUGUAAAAACAAGGUAGUUUACACUGAACACCAGCUUUCUUUAGAAGGAUUUGGAAUUUUGGGACAUGAUAUGGGCAGAGGGUGUCUAUGCUGUUAGACCCCAGUAAAAACCUUGGACACUGAGUCUUUAAUGAAUUUUCCUGGUGGUCAACAUGUCACAAUUCAAAGCUGGGGGAAUUAAGUGUGUCCUGUGCUACGUCAGUCAUGGAAGCCUGUGCCUGAUUUCAUCGGGACUUUGCCCCCCCCUUUUUUUUUGCCCUUUCCCUUUGCUGAUUUUUCUUUGUAUCCUUUCACCCUAAUAAGUUACAGCCUUGACUAUAACUAUGCUGAGUCCUAUUAGUCCUAGCAAAUCAGCAAACCUGAGGGUGGUCUUAGAGACUCUCAACACAGUGACACACAGGAAGAGAUGUGCAGAAAAGAUAGACUUGUCAUGUAAUGUUCCCUGUUCAUGUUGCUUGAAAGUGAUGUAACGCAAAGGAAAAAAGGCGUACAUUUGACCAAUCUGAGGUUUAUCUGGAUCAAUAAACAUUCUUUAAGACUGUCAAAAUGUCUUCUAAAAGUGCCAAGGAGUUCAUCAGUUGCAUACUGCAUGAGCAAAUAAUACUGCCACUCAGUACUAUUCUUUACAUGGAUUAUGGUAUUCACUCUUUACAUUGCCUUAUAACAGGACUUGUCAUUGUGCCCACUUUGCGACUUGUCCUAAUUACAUAUCUAGUGAAUAGCAGAGUCAGAAUAUGAACAUAUUAAGUCUGACUCCAGAGCCUACCCCCUUAGCCAACACUUUUCCUUCUCAUUUCUGGAUUUUCUAAUCUCCCACAGAAGGAAGGGGGAUUUUGAUUAGAGGAAGGAGGGAGAGGUAAUUCUGGAAUACAGAACACUUGAUUCCUGGUAGGUGUAGGUUGCAACCACCUAUAUGCCAUCGUACUGUGAUUCCAGUUAUAUUUUUAAAAAUAUCACACAUUGUACUGAAGACGUAAGAGAAGGGUCCUGAAGCUUUCUUUUUUUGACCCAGUGGUCUGAAUGAAGGGAAUGGAAAUCUAAGAGAGUUGAGAAAAUAAAUUAUGAAAGUGACAAAAGUAAACUUAAUCUAUUUUUAAAGCUUAACUAGAACCUAGUGGUUUUACUAAAGGAAGAAGACAGAGAUCAAAAUUUGGAAACCAAGGAAGCUGCAAUUGUGAGGCAGCGGACCAAAGAUGAAGAACAUAGAUCCAUAUCUUCAUUAUAUGUAUAUAUAUCUCCAGAGCUCUGCAAAGGAAUCUCCUCAAAUCUCGAUUGGAAUACUGAUCUAGGUUUGCAUAUGAGGAAACUGUCUGGGUCAGGGGAAAGAAUAACAGAAAGGAGUGGGCAGAGCAAUCCCCAGGGCUGACAUAGGAUCAGGAAUAAUUGAUAUUCCCAACAACCAGAGUGGGAAAAUAUCUUUAUACACAUGGCAUUGGAUGCAGUUGUCAGGAAGUUAUUGUCUCAGUAGUGGGGCAAAUUAGCACGCAUUACCCCAAGCAGAAGAAACAUGAAGAAACCACCACAAGGCAUAUCAUAAUAAAACUACUGAAAUCAGUUCUAAAGAGAAAAUGUUACAAUCAGCCAGGAAAAACAAAGACAUGUUAAGUACUGAGGAGUGACAGCCAGCUUGUCAUCAGAAACCACUUCAGCCAGAAGAAAAUGGUUGAACAUCUUUAAAGAACUGAACAUAAAAAGAAAAAGGAACAUAGGAGACAUAUAUUUUAAAAAUAAAAUAAAAAUACUUUUUCCAGACAUAAAAAGGCUAAGAGAAUUUAUUACCAUCAGGCUUCCACUACAAAAAAAAAUGUUAAAGUAAAUCUUUCAGGAGGAAAAAUGUUGCUAGAAGUUUGGAUCUACACAAAAGAAUGAAGAACAUUAGAAAUGUUAAAUAUAUGGGAACAUUAAAAAGCUUUCAAAAAUAUAGGCUUUUAAAAGCAAAUAUAACAAUGUAUUUUGGGGUCUAUAAUAUAAGUAAAAUAAAAUAUGACAAAAUAACACAAAGUGNGCAGUGGUUAACGAAUCCCACUAAGUACCAUAAGGUUGCGGAUUCAAUCUCUGGCCUUGCUCACUGGGUUAACGAUCCGGCGUUGCCAUGAGCUGUGUGGUGUAGGUUGCAGAUGCAGCUCGGAUCCCACGUUGCUGUGGCUCAGGUGUAGGCCAGUGGCUACAGCUCC
rnacentral:lncRNA from 1 species